rnacentral:rRNA from 1 species
CCUGGUUGAUCCUGCCAGUAGUCAUAUGCUUGUCUCRAAGAUUAAGCCAUGCAUGUCUCAGUGCAAGCCAAAUUAAGGUGAAACCGCGAAUGGCUCAUCAAAUCAGUUAUGGUUUCUUAGAUCGUUCACACAUUUACUUGGAUAACUGUGGUAAUUCUAGAGCUWAUACAURCAAACAGAGUUCCGACCAGAGAUGGAAGGAAUGCUUUUAUUAGAUCAAAACCAAUCGGCGGCGDGUACGUCCCGUCCGCCGUUUACCUUGGUGACUCUGAAUAWYUUUGGRCUGAUCGCACGGUCUCGUACCGGCGACGCUUCUUUYAAAUGUCUGCCUUAUCAACUGUCGAUGGUAGGCUCUGCGCCUACCAUGGUUGUAACAAGUAACGGGAAAUCAGGGUUCGAUUCCGGAGAGGGAGCCUGAGAAACGGCUACCACAUCCAAGGAAGGCAGCAGGCGCGCAAAUCUUCCGAUGCCAAAUCCGCGAGGAGGUCACGGAAAAUAAUGAUACGUGCUCAUCCGAGGCACCGCAAUCGGAAUGAGUACACUUCGAAUYCUUCCACCAGGAUYCACCGGAGGGCAAGUCUGGUGCCAGCAGCCGCGGUAAUUCCAGCUCCAAUAGCGUAUAUUAAAGUUGUUGCGGUUAAAAAGCUCGUAGUUGAAUCUGUGUCCCACGCUGUCGGUUCACCGCUCGCGGUGUCUAACUGGCAUGAUUGUGGGACAUACGACCACUGGGCUCAGCCCUUCGUGGCGGCUCAACUAAUAUCCUAUGGCGAUACAUUUCACUGAGUGUCGAGGUGGGUAGCUACAUUCACUCUUAACAAAUCAGAGUGCUUGAAGCAGGCUAUUUUUGCGUAUAUACUGUAUGCAUGGAAUAAUGGAAUACGACCUUGUUGCUAUUUUGUUGGUUUUCGGAACCCCGAGGUUGUGAUUGAUAGGGACAGAUAGCGGCAUUCAUAUUGCKACGUCAGRGUCGAAAUUCAUGGAUCGUCACAUGACGGACAGAAGCCAAAGCAAAAAUGUUUUUUUUAGUCAAGAAUAAGAGUGAGAUUUCCAAAGGCGAUCAGAUACCUUCCUAGUCCUAACCAUAGACGAUGCCAGCUGACGAUUCGUUGAAGUUUCUCCGAUGACUCGGCGAGCAGUUUUAGGGAAACCAAAGCCUUUGGGAUUUUGGGGGAAGUAUGGUUGCAAAGCAGAAACCUAGAGGAAUUGACGAAAGUGUACCACCAGGAGUGAAGCCUGCGGCUUAAUUUGACUCAACAUGGAAAACAUCACCAGGUCCGGACACCGGAAAUAUGGUCAGAUUGAGAGCUUUCUUUUGAUUCGGUGGGCGGUGGUGCAUGGCCGUUCUUACCUGGUGGAUCGAUUUUUCUGGAUGAUUUUGCCAACUGACGAGACUCUAGCUUGCUGAACAGGCGUAAUUUCCGGUAUAUACAAGGCCCCCGGCCUCGAUUGAGCGGUUUUCACUACCUGCGUACAAAUGAAUCUUCUUGAAGGGAMAGGCGGCUUCUACCGCACGAGAUUGCGCAAUAACAGAUCUGUGAUGCCCUCAGAUGUUCUGGGACGCACGCGCACUACACKGAAGGAAUCAGCAUGUCUUCCCUGGCUGAAGUCCUGAGUAACCCGGUGAACCUCCUUCGUUCUAGGGAUUCGGGCUUGCAGUGAUUUCCCAGAAACAAGGAAUUCCCAGUGAGCGCGAGUCAGUAACUCACGUUCAUUAGGUCCCUGCCCUUUGUACACACUUUCUGUCGCUACUACCGAUCAUAUGAUUUCAGGAGGUCUCCGAACCGGUACGCGGCAAUAUCUCGGCAUUGCCUAUGUUGCCGGAAUGAUGUCUAAACUUUAUUAUUCAGGGGAGGUGAAAGUCGUAACAAGGUUUCCGUAGGUGAACCUGCGAACG